GCGUGUGCGCGCGCCUGGCCUGCCAGCCUCAUGGGCGACUCCGACUGAAGGCAAGACUAGGAGAACGGAACAGAGGGAGCCCUGACUGACAGCCACUCUGGAGGCUGAGGGAUGGCUUCCGUUUCUAGAGUGUUUUCUACUUGACAGAUCCUUUUCUUCCCAAGAGCCCUCUAUCGGGAGGGAGGGAGGGCAAUCACGAUAAUGCCUAAUUCUCAGCCCAUCUUUCCUUGGUAUCCUCCAGCACCACUAGAUGGACAGCUACAAUGAUUAGGCAAACAUCUUCCUGACUUUCUGCGGUGCUCUGUCCAUCAUUGCCUAUGGAAUACAGAACCAGUUUUUCUA